rnacentral:rRNA from 1 species
AGUGGCGGACGGGUGAGUAACGCGUGAGAAUCUGCCCAUAGGACGGGGACAACAGAGGGAAACUUCUGCUAAUACCGGAUGAGCCGAGAGGUAAAACAUUUAUGGCCUAUGGAGGAGCUCGCGACUGAUUAGCUAGUUGGUGGGGUAAGGGCCUACCAAGGCAAUGAUCAGUAGCUGGUCUGAGAGGAUGAUCAGCCACACUGGGACUGAGACACGGCCCAGACUCCUACGGGAGGCAGCAGUGGGGAAUUUUCCGCAAUGGGGGGAACCCUGACGGAGCAACGCCGCGUGAGGGAAGAAUGGUUGUGGUCAGUAAACCUCUUUUAAUAGGGAAGAAUAAUGACGGUACCUAUUGAAUAAGCAUCGGCUAACUCCGUGCCAGCAGCCGCGGUAAUACGGAGGAUGCAAGCGU